rnacentral:lncRNA from 1 species
UUCAAGAGGGGUGGAUGUUCCUCCGUUGCAUAAAAUAACACGGAUUUGCUGUCCCGGUGCUCCCUUCCCUGGGGUAUGCCGCUGUGUGGAGGGUGAUGUGCAUCUGCUGUUGGUGUUGAGGACGAGUAGGGUCUGGGGUUGGGGGUGGGAGCGUUACCUGCGUGGAGCGGGUCUGUGGGCCCUUGUGGUGGGGCUGGGAGGGAGGAGGGCGUGGGAGAAGAGGAAGGCACUUUCCCCAGGGGCAAAGCUUGCGACCUGGCACUGAAGGCAGAGAUCUCCACACCUCUUUGCCGUGCAUUCCCACGAAGCGAUCGUCCUUCCUGUGCUCCAAAUUUCCCUCUUCCUGGGGAACCCCUGAAGAAAAGAUUGCACGGAAGUCUUUUGUGACUGGGAGAACAGGACUUUGGAACCAGUUGCAGAAACAGGAGUUCAGCGAGGAGGCCGGUGAAGGCACUAGGUGUGGUGGGAACGAGCCUAGGAUGGCUGCUAUGGCAUCGGGGGAAUCCAAAUAAUGAGAGGUCGGACCUGUCUGGGUGAGCUGCUUCAUGCACUGUGAACCAACUUAACUUCCCUCUCUGCUCUCUGUCCCUGCGUCCAUAGGUGCUUUGCUGGCCCCGGGGCUGCCAAGUGAGGCUGGGUUAGCAGCACGGUUGACGUCGGAGCAGGUUUGGGGUUAGCUGGUGGUAGUUUUCAUGCAAAACCUUCUGCGUUUCUGUGAUCCUUGAAAACAUUUGAUAGGAUCUUUGACGCACCUUUAUGUAUAGAGUUGCAGAAGAAGUGAGAAGCCUGC